CCGCAGGGGCGCUGGCGUUACGCCGGCUGAGACGGAGCAGGGCUCCGAACCCUUUAACCUGAUACGGAUAAUGCCGGCGUAGGAAGAAU
rnacentral:ncRNA from 1 species